UACGUAGGGUGCAAGCGUUGUCCGGAAUUAUUGGGCGUAAAGAGCUCGUAGGCGGUCUGUCGCGUCGGCUGUGAAAACUCGGGGCUCAACCCCGAGCCUGCAGUCGAUACGGGCAGACUAGAGUGCUGUAGGGAGACUGGAAUUCCUGGUGUAGCGGUGAAAUGCGCAGAUAUCAGGAGGAACACCGGUGGCGAAGGCGGGUCUCUGGGCAGUAACUGACGCUGAGGAGCGAAAGCAUGGGGAGCGAACAGG
rnacentral:rRNA from 1 species